UACGUAGGAAGCGAGCGUUGUCCGGAUUUACUGGGCGUAAAGGGCGUGUAGGCGGAGCGGCGCAUCCUGGAGUAAAUCUAUCGGCUCAACUGAUAGGCUUUCUAGGAGAUGGCCGCCCUUGAGGACAGCAGAGGAAAGUAGAAUUCCCGGUGUAGCGGUGAAAUGCGUAGAUAUCGGGAGGAAUACCAGUGGCGAAGGCGACUUUCUGGGCUGUUCCUGACGCUGAGGCGCGAAAGCCAGGGGAGCAAAGCGGG
rnacentral:rRNA from 1 species